GCAAGUCGGACGGUAACAUAAGGUGCUUGCACCUUGAUGACGAGUGGCGCACGGGUGCGUACCGCGUAUAGAAUCUACCCUGUACAGGGGGAGAGCCCAGAGAAAUUUGGAUUAAUACCCCGUGGUAACUAUAAAUGGCAUCAUUUAUAGUUUAAAGUGUUCGGAUGGUACAGGAUGGCUAUGCGUCCGAUUAGUUAGUUGGUGAGGUAACGGCUCACCAAGGCAUCGAUAGGUAGGGGCCCUGAGAGGGGGAUC
rnacentral:rRNA from 1 species